rnacentral:snoRNA from 1 species
GUUAGGAUGAUGAAGAAAUCAUUCAGAUUCCCACUAAUGUACCUACUGUGAUUACUACAACCAGCUACUUCUGACUUCC